UUGAGAUAAUCACACUUUAACAGGGUGUUUGUUUGUUUGUUUAUCUUUUGUCCUUUUAAGGCUGCACCUGAGGCAUAUGGAGGCCUUCAAAAGACAAAAGGCAAAAAAAAGUCAUAAUUUUCUGGGGAGCCUUUCCUGAGCUAACUCUGUGUUAUAGCUCCCUUGCCAAACAUCCUUUUUAUUUCCCAUUUUCUCUUCCUCUGUGGUACAUUUCAUCAUCCCCAAAAUUAUAUCUUUAAAAAAUUUUUCAUUAUGAUUGAUUUACAAUGUCUGUCAAUUUCUGCUCUACAGCAAAGUAACCCAGUCAUAUAUAGAUAUACAUUCUUUUUCUCACAUUAUCCUCCAUCAUGCUCCAUCACAAAUGAUUAGAUAUAUAGUUCCCUGUGCUAUACAGCAGGAUCUCAUUGCUUAUCCACUCCAAAUGCAAGAGUUUUCAUCUACUAACCCCAGACUCCCAAUCCAUCCCACUCCCUCUGCUCUCCCCAGCAAACACGAGUCUGUCCCACGUGCCCAUGAUCUUUUCUGUUUGUAGACAGAUCAUUUGUGCCAUAUUUUAGACUCCACAUAUAAGUGAUAUCAUAUAGUAUCUGUCUUUCUCUUUCUGACUUACUUCACUCAGUAUGAGAACCUCUAGUUCCAUCCAUGUUUCUGCAAAUGGCAUUAUCUGUCCUUUUAAUGGCUGAGUAGUAUUCCAUGGUAUAGUGCCACAUCUUCCUAAUCCAUUUAUCCAUGGAUGGACAUUUAGGUUGUUUCCAUGUCUUUGCUAUUGUGAAUAGUGCUGUGAUGAACAUACAGGUGCAUGUAUCUCUUUCAACGAAACUAUUAUAUGGAUAUAUGCCCAGGAGUGUGAUUGCUGGCUCAUAUGGUAGUUCUAUAUUUAGUUUUCUGAGGUAUUUCCAUACUGUUUUCCACAGUGGUUGUACCAAAAAUUAUAUGUUUUAUGUAUCUAUUUAUUUUCUAUCUCCCCCACUAGAACAUCAGAGAUUUUUUGUUUGUUUGGCCAACUGUUGUUUCUGCAGUGCCCAGGAGAGUGAGUGACACAGAGCAUACACUGAAAGAUUCUUCAGAAGAAUGAAGAAAUGAAUAUUCUAGGAUGUGAUACCUCCUAGAACCUGAACACUGACUCACCUGUGCUGGAAUGUAAAUCAUCAGACCCCACAGCGAUAUGGGGUGUGGAGUAGAAUUUUUCAAACCCAACUCCUCAAAUCUCAGUACCUCCUCCAUCAAUUUGGACACUGGACAUAGGAUGAGGAGGAGACUCUAGAAGCUGCCAGGGAGAGCUGCUGUCACAGUCUGAGGCUACUCUAAUAUAUUUUUCUCAUUGAAUAGAACUCAAAGUCAGAGCCAGAUCACCAAGCAAUUACGACCAUACUGACUUCUAAUAGAACUCACAUACCCAAGUAUUUCGAAUAUGGUCUUCAUCCAGUGAUGCUGAAAUGCUGACACAAACAAACACACUACAAAGCUAUGUAUCAUCACAAAACCAAAGCAAAAUGCUGAGCCUGUCAGGGACACUAAUUCUUAAAGAGAUUAGCUUCCUAGCUCUAGGAAAACAUGGAUAAUUAUAGCAUCAUGUUCAUUAUGCUGUAGCUAGCAAAGCACACAUUCAUUAUAAUGCAAUUUUCCCCCCUCAGGGCUUCAGCACAAAUAGAGAUGUCAUACUUCAGCCUGGAUCAUGAAAGCACGGAGCCUCAGUCUGGGGGAUGAAGCAGGGUUUGCUCAGCAGAACCAGGUCGCAGCCUUGAUGUGGGUGAGGGGCUUUGUUUCUCUGCCAGUACCUGGAGUCCCUUCCUGGUACCACGAGGCUGGCCUUCACCUUCAGUGCACAGUCGUCAUCAGAGUGACAACAAGGUACACGUGAACAAUCAUCUCAUUUCUCACGGAUGUCACUGACCAACAAGAGUUGGAUAGAGCGCCUGGCCAAGCUGAGCCGGGUUCACAAAAGAAAGCAUCAGACCAGGAGCUUUAAGCAGAGAACAGAUGCCAAAAAUAGAAGAACAUGUCCAUCAGGGCUCACGGUAAACUCUAAAUGACGGUGUUUCUCCAGACACACUGAGGAGAGGUGCAUGAAGUCCUGCUUCGUUACUGUCACCUCAGGAUGACACUUGGCAGGAAGCCUGGCACGUGGCGCUGACCCGGACCUCAGGAGGGAGCAUGAUUUUGUGAACUCUCGUCUUUUCCCCCCCAUCCCACCCCAGGAAGGCAGGCAGCAGUACAAUGCCCAGCAGUUCAGGGUCUGCCUUUUCCCCUGCUGGCUGCCAGCUCCUCUCUCAUCAGACCAGGCACCAUCUGAACAGGGUGUUUGGAGGAAAAUACCACCAGCCAGUUUCUAACUUCAGCUCAUCUGUAGGUCAAUGCAUCUUGAACUACCUGGUGGGUCCUUGUGUCCCUUCACUCAGAAAAAGUGAUAAACUACCCACUCAGUGUCAGUGGGCUGAGGAUCCCAGAGAUCAUGGUCCCCAUCCUUGAAGAGCCCAGUAUUGUUGGGAAAACUGACUGAUGACUCCAUCCCUACAGUGCACAGGGAGAGUGCUGCCACCGUGAUUUUAAAAAUAAAAAUAGGAGUUCCCAUCACGGCACAGCGGAAACAAAUCUGACUAGGGACCAUGAAGUUGCAGGUUCGAUACCUGGCCUCACUCGGUGGGUUAAGGAUCUGGCAUUGCCGGGAACUAUGGUGUAGAUCGCAGAUGUGGCUCGGAUCCUGCAUUGCUGUGGCUGUGAUGUAGGCCAGUGGCUACAGCUCUGAAGAGACCCUUAGCCUGGGAAAUUCCAUGUGCCGCAGGUGUGACCCUAAAAAGACAAAAAGACAAUAAAAAUUUAAAAAUAAAAAAUGAAAAUAAAAGACCCAGAGGGCUGGGAGUACAAGGAGAGAGCAACUAAGACUCCUUAAGGAUGGACAGCAGAAAUUGGUACAGCAUUGUAAACUGACUAUACUUAAAUUUUUUUUUUAAUUAAAAAGACCCUCUAAGUAUGGAAGAAAAUAACUGAUGUAACACGUGCAUAUUCAUACAAUGCUUCAAGGAUAGAUUAGUGAGUACCACCUCUGAGCCAUGUUGGGCAGGUUUAGUAGAGUGUGGCAUGCUGAACACAGAGGGAAGGAGAUGGAAAGAGGAGAGGCAUCUCGUGGUCACCACUUACUCCAAGGACACAAGAAAGCAUCGGGUCUCUGGGGAGCUGUGAGUGUGGACAGGGCACUUGUCUUUUCAUCCCACAGAAAGGUCAUGUGCUUUAGGCUCAAGAACUGUCCACCUCUGGCUCCCUGUGACUGGUCCUCACAACUGCAUCAUCAGUGGGGAAGGCUGAUGUUGCAGAAAGACCAAGGGUACAAAUGGGACACAAACCAGGACUCUUGAAGUGUGGUUCCUUAUUAAAGUGGAUAGACCACUCUUAGGUAGUGACAGAAUUUAAACAAAACUCAUAACCAGAAAGUGUAAAGUUGAGAAAAAGUCAGAAUGCAAUACUGUUUGCACUGUUUUUUAUGUUGAGUGGGAGGUUAUUUGCAGAGGAAAACAAUUUUAUAAGUUGUUUUUACUAAUUCCCAUUUUUAAUUCAAGAACAAAGAGCAGCAAAAUUCAUGAAUAGCAUCAUAUUCUGGUCUGAAUUCACAUGGGUCUCCAGACAAUCGCCAAGAUAUCAGUUUUAAGGUCACAGGACAAAGACCUAAUGCUAAAAAGUUCCUUGAGUUUGGCUUGUGAUUGAGCUUAGGGUGCCUUGCUUAUUUAAUGGAAGUUACAUAUGAAGUACAUUUAUUAAUCGAAAUUUGUUGAGGACUUUGGGACUGUGAGGUGGAAAAAGAAAUGGUCCCAGUGUUUGAGUCGCAUUUCAGAGUCACCUCCUGUCCAGGAGGAACUGACCCUUUACAAGAUGCCUAAUCAUUCCCUCCUCACCUGUCCCUGUCGUUCCUCUUGUUUUCAAUCACAAGUUGUAGGACUUUAUUGGAAGCCAGCUCAAACCUUUUUGAACAUGGUGAGUAAACACAUUUAAUGAAAGUGAACCAGACAGGGCAAUGUCAAGAGAGCAGGGCUACAGCCAAACCAAGUGAAAUCUGGACUGGCUGAUGUUAGAAAUUGUAGAGGAAGCCACUAGCACCUCUAGAAGAUGCUCUGGGACUGUCCACUUCAUAUGAAAAUAUCAAGGGCUCAGUUUAACACUUCUGAUGCCAGUGCUCCUUCUGUCCAUGGGUUAUAACUCUUGCCAGCCCUCCAGAAAGUGAUGAAAGUGUAAGAGGGUGUGUCUACUUUAUUCUUAUAGUAGGAUGCAGAAAGGAGCAAUGCGUCAGUAAGAUUUGUCUAAAAUAAUUCCAAAUUCAACUACAGAAGGCCUUAGGUUUCAGGAAAUUUUUUUCCUUUUAAGUUAAUUUCAAGGUUCUCAUGUAAGAAGUCACUCUAGCUUGCAUCCAGAUUUACUUCCUUGAACAAAGGAGAAAAAGGUGGAAUUACAGAAGAGGCCAAGAAUUACAUUCAACCCUAAGUAUGCCCGUGGGAGUGUGUUUAGUAUGGGUCCCUCAUCUAUUGUAAAUGAAAAGGAGAAAUCAUUGAGAACUGCUGGUCUAGUAGAAGGAAAAUGGACCUUGCAUUCGGACAGUCCUGAUUCUAAUUCUGCCUCUGCCACUGUGAGUUCAGUCAAGUGACUUAGCUUCUAUGCUUUUCUAGCUUCUAUGUUUUCUUAUCUGUAAAACUGGGAAAGGGUAUCUACCAUUUAGUGGGAUGAAAUGAUAUGAAGUGUAAGUGCCCAAUAUAUGACUUAUUUCCUCUUCUUUUCUGAAGUGUUCUGAACAAUGCCUAUGUAAACUAGGAAGUUUUUGGUCACAAUAACAGAAAAGUCAAUUUAAACUGGUGUAGACCAUACAGAAUGUACUGGUGUAGACCAUACAGAAUGUUCUCAUAACUGAAGAAUGAUGUCAGUCGGGCUUCAUGGAUGUUGUUAUUUAUUGUCCAGGAGGGUCACCAGAAACCUGAACUUGGCACCCCUCAAAUCUGCCUUUAAUAGAACCUAAUAACCUUCUAUUAUUAGAUGGUUAUCUAUAGCUCAUAGGAGGAUGAACUUCAGGGAGGGAAGGCAGAAGGUAGGGAGAGAGAGAGAGAUGGAGGUGGGGAGGGAGGGGGAGAUGAGAUAUGAGCUAUUGUGAGAGAAGAUUUUAUCUUCUAAGAAUGGAGAGAAGUCAUGUCAUAGAUCAGGGUCCACCCACUUUGACCCACUUCUUGGACUGGAAGCUUGGGCAUCAAGGACAGUGUUUAUCUUCCUUUUAGAAUUCUUCCAGUUGUUUACUUCUUUUCAUAAAUCAUACAGAUAGCUACAAUGGCCAAGAUAGAACUAAAUAUAUUUUCCUCACUAAAACACACAUAUACCUACUUAUGCCCAAAAAACUCUAUCAGACCCUUCAUAAACAACCAAUUUCAUAUUGAUAUCAUCAAGUCAAAUCUCAGACUGAGCAAGAAUCUUGAGCAUUCAUUAUACUCUUGACAUUUCUGAAGCAUUUUAAUACAGAAAGCAUGAACACUUCUGAUUAAUGUUUAUUAUUGGGUCCUGACUGGAUUGGAGAGGUACACAUCCUAAUACAUUUUCUAAAACAUUAGUUCUUAACCUGUCCAUGUCAUGUACCAAAGAGCAAAUAUUCCUCACAUCUGGAACAGGAGAAAGAAAACUGAGGAUCAGUGAAUUAACUCCCAAAUAUAUAGUCAAAGAUUUGCUAAUUACAUAGGGACCGUAUGUCCUGAAACUUCCAGAACAUAAAUUCAAAAACCUUACCUUGCUGUUCCAAAUGGGAUGUUCCGUCCCAUUACUAUUGGGUAAAGAUACCAUCUGGUCAAAUGUAUGCACUGAGGAACAUUACAAGGAAAGGUUUGAUGAAAUUCUCUACUAUAGCUGACAGGGAAAAAUGCUCUUGUAGUUGUUGUCCACUGUAUUACAUAAUGACACCUCUGAAGAUACUAGGGAAAAGAUUCCUUUGUGGAGACUGUACUUCUUGACAUCUGGUUUUAAACUUAUCCUCCAUUUCCUGCAAGUUUUAUAACUGCUGAUAUUCUCC
rnacentral:lncRNA from 1 species